GCGAAGUUGAGCGUGUCGGUCGUGCGAAAGUUUUGAAGCAUAUUAAAAAAAUACUUAAAAGCUAAUUCUUCAAAUAUUAAGUUAAUAAAAAAACUAAUUGAAAAAAAAAGAAGCGGCAGUUUUUAUUAAGGACUUUAAAUUAAACGAGAAGAAAGGUGGUGAAAAAUAAAAACUUUUGUGGAUCUAUUGUAUUGAUGGAAGACGAUAUAUUUUAUUCCCAUUUUCGGAUGCGAAGAAGCACGUUCAAGGUAAGUACACAAUUGAAUUUCAAAUAUGGAUAACAUAAAACGUGUUCGCUGCAAUUUCAUAGGCUGAUGACUAUGCUACAACCAAUGUGGACCGAAUCAUCAACAGGUCGUACUGCAGUUUCCAUGGAAAAGGCAUUGUAUUUGACAAUUUGGAAGCUUGCCAAUAAUACAUCAUUUCGACAAAUUAGUGACAGAUUUGAUGUAGGAAUGGGCGCCACUUAUAGAGCAUUUAUUAAAAUCCUCAAACUUAUAUGUCGUCUAAAAUUAACAAUAAUAAAAUUUCCAACUAUUACUGCAGCUCAAAAACAGAUCGCUGAUGGGUUUUCUCAACGUCGCCACAAUAUAUUUCCUUUUGUAUUAGGAUGCAUUGAUGGAACGCACAUUCCCAUAUCACAACCAAAAAAUGAUGCAAUAAGUUUCUAUAACAGAAAAGGCACGUUUUCCAUCAUUGCACAGGCCAUUGUUGACAGCGAUAUGAAAUUUCUGGACGUCUUUGUCGGCUGUCCUGGACGAUGUCAUGACGCAUCAGUGUGGCAAAGGAGCCCAUUUCGUAGAGCACUAGUAAGCGGUGAAUUAAAAAUUCCACCAAAUCACCACUUCUUAGGCGACGCAGCUUAUCCGCUAGAAACGUUUCUCAUGGUGCCAUAUCGGGAUAAUGGUUUUUUAACAUCGCAGCAGAGCAAAUUUAACACUAUUUUAAGCACUAACCGAGUUUUUGUUGAACAGGCGUUCGGGAUAUUAAAACAAAAGUUCAGAAUUUUAAAAUUUAUUGGUGUACAGCUCGCUCAUAUUCCAAAAAUUAUUGUAUUAACGUGCAUGAUAAUACAUAACGUGAUUAUAAUGAAGGUCAGCAAAACAUUGAUUGCAUAGAAUUGGACGAAGAGGAGGCCCAAACAUCUGAAGUUAGUGUUCCAUCAUUGCAAAGAGAUGAAGCCCAACAAAAACGAAAUGCCCUGGCAGCGUUGUUUUCAAGUUGAAUUAAACGACAAUUCUAAAAUA